rnacentral:rRNA from 1 species
GAUGAACGCUGGCGGCGUGCCUAAUACAUGCAAGUCGAGCGAACAGACGAGGAGCUUGCUCCUCUGACGUUAGCGGCGGACGGGUGAGUAACACGUGGAUAACCUACCUAUAAGACUGGGAUAACUUCGGGAAACCGGAGCUAAUACCGGAUAAUAUAUUGAACCGCAUGGUUCAAUAGUGAAAGACGGUUUUGCUGUCACUUAUAGAUGGAUCCGCGCCGCAUUAGCUAGUUGGUAAGGUAACGGCUUACCAAGGCAACGAUGCGUAGCCGACCUGAGAGGGUGAUCGGCCACACCGGAACUGAGACACGGUCCAGACGACUACGGGAGGCAGCAGUAGGGAAUCUUCGGAAAUGGGCGAAAGCUUGACGGAGCAACGCCGCGUGAGUGAUGAAGGUCUUCGGAUCGUAAAACUCUGUUAAUAGGGAAGAACAAAUGUGUAAGUAACUAUGCACGUCUUGACGGUACCUAAUCAGAAAGCCACGGCUAACUACGUG